UACGAGGGGGGCGAGCGUUGUUCGGAAUUAUUGGGCGUAAAGGGCGCGUAGGCGGUGCGGUAAGUCACCUGUGAAAUCUCCUGGCUCAACUGGGAGCUUGCAGGCGAAACUGCCGUGCUGGAGUGUGGGAGAGGUGCGUGGAACUGCGAGUGUAGAGGUGAAAUUCGUAGAUAUUCGCAAGAACACCAGUGGCGAAGGCGGCUCACUGGCCCGGUACUGACGCUGAGGUGCGAAAGCGUGGGGAGCAAACAGG
rnacentral:rRNA from 1 species